CAAUAGCGUAUAUUAAAGUUGUUGCAGUUAAAAAGCUCGUAGUUGAAUUUCGGGUCCCCGCGCUCGGCGCUUCAUUGUGCCGUCGUGGUGUCCCUCCUCGCCGUAAGGCGUCCUUUACUGUGAAAAAAUUAGAGUGUUCAAAGCAGGCAAUCGCUUGAAUACAUUAGCAUGGAAUAAUAAGAUAGGAUCUUGUCUAUUUUGUUGGUUGCGGACAACGAUAAUGAUUAAUAGGGAUAGUUGGGGGUGUCCGUAUUGAGCUGUCAGAGGUGAAAUUCUUGGAUUUGCUCAAGACGAACUACUGCGAAAGCAUUCACCAAGGAUGUUUUCAUUAAC
rnacentral:rRNA from 1 species